rnacentral:rRNA from 1 species
CAGCCGCCACGGGAAUACAGAGGAUGCAAGCGUUAUCCGGAAUGAUUGGGCGUAAAGCGUCUGUAGGUGGCUUUUCAAGUCCGCCGUCAAAUCCCAGGGCUCAACCCUGGACAGGCGGUGGAAACUACCAAGCUGGAGUGCGGCAGAGGGGGAUGGAAUUCCGCGUGUAGCAGUGAAAUGCGUAGAUAUGCGGAGGAACACCGAUGGCGAAGGCAAUCCCCUGGGCCUGCACUGACGCUCAUGCACGAAAGCGUGGGGAGCAAACAGGAUUAGAUACCCCCGUAGUCCCUGUCUCUUAUAC